CAAACACAUUUUUUCAUCAAGAAAACGCAAAACAUUUAUAUAUACCAGUACGUAGAGGUUAUAAUUAAUGAUUACCCGGGACACGGAAAUUAUCUGAACAUUAAGGGGCAACCAGAUAUGGGAACAACCGAAGCCAAACCAGUUUGCCAACAUUCUUGUAGCAGUGCAGUGACCGUGUACACAGAUGUUGACCAGGAUGAUUGGUUACGUAAUGAUACAACUGUGGAAAAACAAGUCUUGACAAACACAAAUAACAACAAAUCAAAUACUCAUCAACAAGUUAGCUCUUCCAAACACAAUGAACAAUGUCUUAUUUUUAGUGAUAAACAAGUCAACAGAACAACCAAAACAAUAUCACCAACCACCAGGAAUAUUACAAACGUUGUGGAAUUAGAGGAAUAUGAUUGAGUUAAAACUCGUAAUCUUACAAAACAAGAAUUAUAUCUAAAAAAAAAACGCAAUUAAAAACAAAGAUAUAAGGAUGGCUGUGUUGUGUAAACAGGAUUUAAUAUAUGUGAUAAGUGGAAUUGUACCAUGUGCUAUCAUUGAUACCAAAUUAUGAAAUGAGGGGGAAAUACUUAAACAAUAUAUGAAAUAUAAAUGUUAUACUUAAGCUAACUUGUUUGUACUUGAUUUUCGUUAAAUAUCUACAACAUCACGAUAAAAUGUAGGAUGAGAAAUACCGUCUAAUAUUAAUUAUUUACGAGAAACAUUAUAUUUUAUACAUUUAUGUAAUUUUAAAAGGGGUAAAAUUUAAAAAUGUUACUUUGCGACUUUGCUACCUCGCGAUUUUAUUAAAUGAAAGUGUGAGUUAAAGGAUUUGUAGCGUAUAUAUCAUGAAAUUACAAUGUACCAUUAACCCGAGACUUUAACUUACUUUACUCUGCAAAUUUCUCUGCUUCUGCAGUAUUAAGAAACAGUUCUAUUAUUUGGAGUACGAAAUUAUACGGUUGAAUUGCCAGUUUUUGUGUAUAUUUAUAAUUAAUAUUAUAUUGAUCUUUUCCAUUGAGCCAUCGCUGAAAUUGAAAAAAAUAAGACUUAUGAGAUUCCUUACCUUACUCCAAAGAAAAAAAGAUCGAAACCAGAUAAGAUUAAUUUCUGGUUUUAACGUAGUUCCAGGAUAAAAUACAUAAUUUAAUAAAAAAAAAAAAAGAUUUCAGAAAAGAAUUAAAGAUUUGAUAAGGCUAAAUCAUGAAUAAAUCUUUGUAUUCUAUGUUGUAUCGAAGAAAAUAUUGUGCAUAUUAUUUAUUAGUAUCUUCUUUUAUUAGAAAAGCUUAAAAUACAUACAUUUACAUUUCUUAAUGAAUACUUAAGAAUAACUAUUUAAUUUAAAGUGUCUCAUAAGUAAGUUUUAGCUGGAUACCAAUAUUUUAACCUUGAUGAAAAUUUAUUUUUUAUUUGUAUUCUUAUGUAUUAACAUUAACAUUAACGGUAAGAAUUUUACUGUUCCAGAUGUAGAUAUAUGAUGGAUGCAAUUUGUAACAGGCAUUUGCCUUUUUAAGACAUCGUGUCAGGGCCAUUUUGUUGAUCCAAUAUAUUACCUGAUAUAGAAUGUACACGUUUUUCAAUGCUAUGUCAUUAUUUAGUUGUUUCAAGAUCGAGUAAAAACAUGUUUUUGCUUGAUUUCACAUUGAAACUUAUUUAAAUUCGAUUUAGCAUUUAUCAAACGCAUUAUCUAAUGGAUUGUGAUUUUAAAUCAAUUCCCUUUAAACUGUCCCAAUAACAGUUAUAUCGUUUCCAGGUGCAGUCAUACAGUAAAUGUUGCCUUUGUCUUCAACAGUCUCUUUUCUAUCCAUGAUUUUCAACCAAAUAUCGGCCCUAUUCCCAAUUCAAAACAGGCGGGCUUUGCCUAAAUUGUAAUCCAAUGUUCCCAUUGAUAUCAUAAAUACCCAAAACCUCUAAAAUAUAGUCUAUCAAAUCACAUUAAAGCGUUAUUGCAAUAAAAUAUCUUGUGUGUUUAGAAUUUUUACUAUUUACGAAUAUGUGAAAUUUGUAACUUGACAGCAUAUACUAAAUUACGAAUAAAAUAAAUUUACUGUUUCUUGAAAUGGCUACUGGUUCAGUGAAAUCAAAGAAAAGAUACGUUGUUUUUUUUCAGAUCCAAGCCCGUAUAAACUGAUCCAUGUGAUAGUAAAUGCAUGUUUUACUAAAUCGUGCAGUGUACUAUUUUGACAUCUCGCGGCAUAAGAGCAAAUUUACAUUACUAGUACAUAAAUAAAUCAAGUAAGAAAGAUAGUGCAAAAGAACCAGCCAUUGUAUUUAUAAAAAGUGUUUAAUCCUUACUUAUUAUCUGUACAAUGAAACUGCUACGCAACGACCAGUCCUAGUAGAAACUUCUGAAUACGAGAAUCCAAUUAAACUUAAGAGCUCAUUUGGUAACAAAAUAUCAUUGAUGUAUAUUUGGCUUGCAAGUCAACAAUUCAACAUAAUUUGACAUAAUUUGAAUAUGUAUUCAUGCAACAUUCAAUUUGACACUUAGCGGAGAUAUGUUGCGCAUGUGUUCAGCAUGUGUUACGUUCAUUCAUUAGAGCUAAUUCCUUAAUGCUUGUAGAUUAAGACUUUGGUUUGCUUGCUUGCUUUCUUUGUAUAAACUUUUGCUCAAGCAUUGUAAUUAUAAUUGCCAUCUGCAAACAAUAUAAAUAGGCGCAUUUAAACCUGUAUACAUUACACUUAAAUUUGAUUGGAUGUUAUCCCGGAAGUUAGGAACACCCAAUUGCACAUGUAAACAUUACAGGACAAAUAUUAUUGGGUGUUCCUAACCUCCAGCAUAAAGUCCAAUCAAAUCUAAGUAUAAUGUAUAGAAAAGAAUGUCAACAUUGAAAAGUGAAAUAUAGGAGUUACCAGGAAUAAUUAUUUCGUUGAAUGGCCUGGUCCAUAAAAAAUAAUUCUUAUACAAGUAAAACGAUGGUUUUUAUGUUAUACGAUAGCACGUGCUUGUGUUUAUAUCGGUUUGUAUAACCAUCGGCAGUCUUCGAAGGUCAUCUCGAUGGAUAAUUAGAUGGCGUCUGGUCUAAAAUACACACGAAUUACGGAUACAUUAUAAUGAGUUUAUGCAUUGUUAAUUGUUUCUUUUUUUCUUUUUGUAAUUUGGAUAUACGUUUUAGUGUAUAAGAAUUUGGAACAAUACAUGAAUUUGACAGCUAAUGCCGUUUUUUUUAGUAAUAAUUGCAACAUGGCGUGAAUAUCGAACGUGACUAGUGAUGCAAAGCAAAUACAAAUUUAGUAUUAAUUUAUUCUUUUACAUUCAAAAUUAUCAAUCAAUCAAAAUUAAAACUGCCUGAGCCUAUUUAUUAAUAUGAAUUUUGACGCGACACUUUAUAACAAGAUAAAACAGUAAAGACAACAUUAUUCAUUGAUCGAUUAUCGAAAACCCUGUGGAAUACCUCUUUUUUUCGUUAUAUGGAUAAUAGUGUUUUACUUGUUUUUGUAUUUUUUGAAUGCAUGUUUUAUACCUAUGAUACUUUCUUAAUUGUACAAUAUGAUAUUUAAAACUUACAAAUAUAAUUUUAUCUAAUUA